rnacentral:rRNA from 1 species
AUUGAACGCUGGCGGCGUGCUUAACACAUGCAAGUCGAGCGGUAACAGGCGUAGCAAUACGUGCUGACGAGCGGCGAACGGGUGCGUAAUACAUCGGAAUCUGCCUAGUAGUGGGGAAUAACCCGGCGAAAGCCGGGCUAAUGCCGCAUACGAUCCACGGAUGAAAGCGGGGGACUUUCGGGCCUCGCGCUAUUAGAUGAGCCGAUGCCGGAUUAGCUAGUUGGNGAGGUAACGGCUCACCAAGGCGACGAUCCGUAGCUGGUCUGAGAGGACGGCCAGCCACACUGGGACUGAGACACGGCCCAGACUCCUACGGGAGGCAGCAGUGGGGAAUAUUGGACAAUGGGGAAACCCUGAUCCAGCGACGCCGCGUGUGUGAAGAA